AGGAAGAUGAGAGCAUAAAUCUGCCUCAGUCUCUUUACACCACUGCAUUUAACGUUAUAAUAUUAAUCAUUACAACAUUAUAUAUUCUCAGGUGGUAGUUGGUAUAAAAUGUUGGAGAACCAGUGGUUUGGAGGGCAGUGAAAUCACAGAAGUGUCCUCGUCAGUGGUGGCCCGUCAAUAGAGGGCGCUCUGGCACCGCCCCACCUGUCUCACAUGAAGAAGAAGAUGAUGAUGAUGGAAAUCACAUGAAAUUUAAAUAACUGAGCUGUACAUUACACAGACGUGAGUACUAUGUGGAACCAGCAUUUAAGUUUAAAUGUGUGUUCUCACUCAUUUACAGCGAGUGAACCAACAUGUGACGUGUUUCCUGUUCCUUUGGGGCACAAAAAUCUUGAGCAUAGACUCUCAUUAUGAGUGGUGCAUGCACACUAGACGACAGGAAAACACCCUCGGCCAAGCGAGAUGACCGGAUAUAAACAUCUCACUCUGUGUGGUGAUAGUGAAGUAAAGCAGAUUAAUGACAAGCAAAAUACUCAACAUUAUUAUGUAAUGCAGGGAUGAGAAUGUAGAUAUAUGAAUCUUUUCCAACAUGUAUUACAUUUUUACAGCACAUAAAACUAAAAAAUGAUAUAUGAUUAUAUUGCAGCAGAAAUUGAAAGGAAUAAUCACUUUUUAAGAUAAAAGUCUUGAUCUGCUUUGCCUUAUGUUCUAUGUAUGGAAGGGAAGGGACUUGCUAUUUUAGGUUUUAAAAAAGCCUCAAACCCAUCUACAUUAUGUUGUGUAAAAUGGAAAACUGAAUUACACACUUGCACACAGUAGGUGGCGGUGUCGGCAUUCCUAAAGAUGGCUGGGAUCUGCCUGUAAAGAAAAAGAUUUAAGGCUUUUGUUUUGAAAACUGAUUUAAAUGCGGAAGUGAAUUAGAUUGCUCUUCCGGGGGUUGCGGAUUGUUAUGAUCGUAUGUUGCGACAUCUGCUAUUUACAUUACGUUAACAUUGCUAACUGUGUCUUUAUUUGUUGAGGAUUCCCGUUUUAAUUACAAUUAAAUGUGUUUAAUUGUAAUUAAAGAAUGUAGCCACAGUCGCGGGCUAGUUUGACCUGUGGGACGCGGAAGUAGAAUUUGGAAACAUAUCCUGAGUUAGCUAAUGUAGCUAACGUUAGCCAUCCACAGACGCUGACCUGAGGACUAGCUUACAGGAUGUCCAAACUGGAGCGUUUGAACGCGCGCGUGGCCCAGCUGCUGACUGAAGCCGUGCAGGAGGUUCUGGAGGUGGUGAAGGAGACGGUGUCAGAGUACCAGGAGAAAACAGCCAGGACACAGAGGGAGAACGAGACUCUGAAGAAACGACUGAUGGAGCUCCAGGGCAAAAUGACAAAGGAGAGCACACGUGCGUACAAGGCAUGGUUUUAGUGCAGCAGUAAACAACAAUU